CCCUUAGAUGUUCUGGGCCGCACGCGCGCUACGAUGGCAGACUCAGCGAGUUACCUCUGUCGAAAGGCACAGGGAAUCUUUACAGUAUCUGCCGUGAUGGGGAUAGACCCUUGUAAUUUUUGGUCUUCAACGAGGAAUUCCUAGUAAACGCAAGUCAUUAACUUGCAUUGAUUACGUCCCUGCCCUUUGUACACACCGCCCGUCGCACCUACCGAUUGAAUGGUCCGGUGAAGUCCUCGGACCCAGUUGAACCUCGAGUUGAACAGGGAAAGUUGACUAAAUCUUACCAUUUAGAGGAAGGUGAAGUCGUAACA
rnacentral:rRNA from 1 species